rnacentral:lncRNA from 1 species
AAGGAAAUUAGUUGAACUUAAUAAAAAUAAAAUAUAAAAUAAAGAAUCCAAAAAAUACUCGAUUUCUAUUUAUGGUUCCACAUUUCAUUUACAUGCAAUAAAAUACCUCGAAAGGUUUAAAGAUAAGAACUGCAUUUUUACUUCAUGAAAUAAAAAACAUGAAUCCCCGUUCGAUUCACUGGUCAAACUUGGAGAAAAAUA